GACAAACGCUGGCGGCAUGCCUAACACAUGCAGGUCGAACGGACAGAACAGGGAAGCUUUUCGGAGUGGAACUGGAAAGUUAGUGGCGGAUGGGUGAGUAACGCGUGGACAACCUACCUUGUAAAGGGGAAUAACCUCGAGAAAUCGAAGCUAAUACCCCAUAAUAACCUUGCUUCGCAUGAAGUAAGGAGGAAAGGCGGCCUUAGCGCUGUCGAUACAAGAUGGGUCCGCGUCUGAUUAGCUAGUUGGUGAGGUAAAGGCUCACCAAGGCGACGAUCAGUAGCCGGCCUGAGAGGGUGAACGGCCACAUUGGGACUGAGACAAGGCCCAAACUCCUACGGGAGGCAGCAGUGGGGAAUCUUCCGCAAUGGGCGAAAGCCUGACGGAGCAAUGCCGCGUGAGUGAAGAAGGCCUUCGGGUUGUAAAACUCUGUCCUUAUCGAAGAGAGAGUGUUGUAGUAACUGACAAUACUAGGACGGUAGAUGAGGAGGAAGCCCCGGCUAACUAUGUG
rnacentral:rRNA from 1 species